UCUGGGUAUGGUGGCACCCACCUGUAAUCCCAACUACUUGGGAGGCUAAAUCAGAAUUGCUUGAGCCCAGGAGUUUGACUAGCCUGAGCAACAUAGCAAGAUCCCCUUUUCA
rnacentral:sRNA from 1 species